UUUUUAAUUUCCUUUGGGAAUUAUUAGACUGUAUAAUAGACUAACUGGUUUAGAGUCAUAUAUCUAUGGUUUGACUUUUAGAUACUUUCAGUUUUAAAGAGGGAUUUCAGUUGGUCUAAUUUAUCCUGAAAAAAUAAAGCCAUGAAAGCAGCUUCUACUCACUGGAUAUUAAGAAUAUCUCCCAUCUCUUCCUAAGUCAUCUGAUUGUCAAUCCUGUUUCAACAGUGGGAAGCAGAUACAUUUUCCACCACUGACCCUUCUACAUACUUUAA
rnacentral:lncRNA from 1 species